UCAUUUAAAGAAAGCGUAAUAGCUCACUGGUCGAGUCGGCCUGCGCGGAAGAUGUAACGGGGCUAAACCAUGCACCGAAGCUGCGGCAGCGACGCUUAUGCGUUGUUGGGUAGGGGAGCGUUCUGUAAGCCUGUGAAGGUGUGCUGUGAGGCAUGCUGGAGGUAUCAGAAGUGCGAAUGCUGACAUAAGUAACGAUAAAGCGGGUGAAAAGCCCGCUCGCCGGAAGACCAAGGGUUCCUGUCCAACGUUAAUCGGGGCAGGGUGAGUCGACCCCUAAGGCGAGGCCGAAAGGCGUAGUCGAUGGGAAACAGGUUAAUAUUCCUGUACUUGGUGUUACUGCGAAGGGGGGACGGAGAAGGCUAUGUUGGCCGGGCGACGGUUGUCCCGGUUUAAGCGUGUAGGCUGGUUUUCCAGGCAAAUCCGGAAAACCAAGGCUGAGGCGUGAUGACGAGGCACUACGGUGCUGAAGCGACAAAUGCCCUGCUUCCAGGAAAAGCCUCUAAGCAUCAGGUAACAUCAAAUCGUACCCCAAACCGACACAGGUGGUCAGGUAGAGAAUACCAAGGCGCUUGAGAGAACUCGGGUGAAGGAACUAGGCAAAAUGGUGCCGUAACUUCGGGAGAAGGCACGCUGAUAUGUAGGUGAAGCGACUUGCUCGUGGAGCUGAAAUCAGUCGAAGAUACCAGCUGGCUGCAACUGUUUAUUAAAAACACAGCACUGUGCAAACACGAAAGUGGACGUAUACGGUGUGACGCCUGCCCGGUGCCGGAAGGUUAAUUGAUGGGGUUAGCGGUAACGCGAAGCUCUUGAUCGAAGCCCCGGUAAACGGCGGCCGUAACUAUAACGGUCCUAAGGUAGCGAAAUUCCUUGUCGGGUAAGUUCCGACCUGCACGAAUGGCGUAAUGAUGGCCAGGCUGUCUCCACCCGAGACUCAGUGAAAUUGAACUCGCUGUGAAGAUGCAGUGUACCCGCGGCAAGACGGAAAGACCCCGUGAACCUUUACUAUAGCUUGACACUGAACAUUGAGCCUUGAUGUGUAGGAUAGGUGGGAGGCUUUGAAGUGUGGACGCCAGUCUGCAUGGAGCCGACCUUGAAAUACCACCCUUUAAUGUUUGAUGUUCUAACGUUGGCCCGUAAUCCGGGUUGCGGACAGUGUCUGGUGGGUAGUUUGACUGGGGCGGUCUCCUCCUAAAGAGUAACGGAGGAGCACGAAGGUUGGCUAAUCCUGGUCGGACAUCAGGAGGUUAGUGCAAUGGCAUAAGCCAGCUUGACUGCGAGCGUGACGGCGCGAGCAGGUGCGAAAGCAGGUCAUAGUGAUCCGGUGGUUCUGAAUGGAAGGGCCAUCGCUCAACGGAUAAAAGGUACUCCGGGGAUAACAGGCUGAUACCGCCCAAGAGUUCAUAUCGACGGCGGUGUUUGGCACCUCGAUGUCGGCUCAUCACAUCCUGGGGCUGAAGUAGGUCCCAAGGGUAUGGCUGUUCGCCAUUUAAAGUGGUACGCGAGCUGGGUUUAGAACGUCGUGAGACAGUUCGGUCCCUAUCUGCCGUGGGCGCUGGAGAACUGAGGGGGGCUGCUCCUAGUACGAGAGGACCGGAGUGGACGCAUCACUGGUGUUCGGGUUGUCAUGCCAAUGGCACUGCCCGGUAGCUAAAUGCGGAAGAGAUAAGUGCUGAAAGCAUCUAAGCACGAAACUUGCCCCGAGAUGAGUUCUCCCUGAGACUUAGAGUCUCCUGAAGGAACGUUGAAGACGACGACGUUGAUAGGCCGGGUGUGUAAGCGCAGCGAUGCGUUGAGCUAACCGGUACUAAUGAACCGUGAGGCUUAACCUUACAACGCCGAAG
rnacentral:rRNA from 1 species